GAUGAACGCUGGCGGCGUGCCUAAUACAUGCAAGUCGAACGCUUUGUGGUUCAACUGAUUUGAAGAGCUUGCUCAGAUAUGACGAUGGACAUUGCAAAGAGUGGCGAACGGGUGAGUAACACGUGGGAAACCUACCUCUUAGCAGGGGAUAACAUUUGGAAACAGAUGCUAAUACCGUAUAACAAUGACAACCGCAUGGUUGUUAUUUAAAAGAUGGUUCUGCUAUCACUAAGAGAUGGUCCCGCGGUGCAUUAGCUAGUUGGUAAGGUAAUGGCUUACCAAGGCGAUGAUGCAUAGCCGAGUUGAGAGACUGAUCGGCCACAAUGGGACUGAGACACGGCCCAUACUCCUACGGGAGGCAGCAGUAGGGAAUCUUCCACAAUGGGCGAAAGCCUGAUGGAGCAACGCCGCGUGUGUGAUGAAGGGUUUCGGCUCGUAAAACACUGUUGUAAGAGAAGAAUGACAUUGAGAGUAACUGUUCAAUGUGUGACGGUAUCUUACCAGAAAGGAACGGCUAAAUACGUGCCAGCAGCCGCGGUAAUACGUAUGUUCCAAGCGUUAUCCGGAUUUAUUGGGCGUAAAGCGAGCGCAGACGGUUAUUUAAGUCUGAAGUGAAAGCCCUCAGCUCAACUGAGGAAUUGCUUUGGAAACUGGAUGACUUGAGUGCAGUAGAGGAAAGUGGAACUCCAUGUGUAGCGGUGAAAUGCGUAGAUAUAUGGAAGAACACCAGUGGCGAAGGCGGCUUUCUGGACUGUAACUGACGUUGAGGCUCGAAAGUGUGGGUAGCAAACAGGAUUAGAUACCCUGGUAGUCCACACCGUAAACGAUGAGUGCUAGGUGUUUGAGGGUUUCCGCCCUUAAGUGCCGCAGCUAACGCAUUAAGCACUCCGC
rnacentral:rRNA from 1 species